rnacentral:rRNA from 1 species
GAUCAUGGCUCAGGAUGAACGCUAGCGGCAGGCCUAAUACAUGCAAGUCGAACGGGAGGCGGCCCGUUCGGGGCUGCCGGAGAGUGGCGCACGGGUGCGUAACGCGUAUGCAACCAACCCUCGUCCGGGGGACAGCCGGUGGAAACGCCGGGUAAUACCCCAUGCCGACGCCGAAGGGCAUCCCUUGGCGUUGAAAGACGAAAGUCGGACGGGACGGGCAUGCGUCCCAUUAGCUAGUAGGCGGGGCGACGGCCCACCUAGGCGACGAUGGGUAGGGGAUCUGAGAGGACGGUCCCCCCACACUGGUACUGAGACACGGACCAGACUCCUACGGGAGGCAGCAGUAAGGAAUAUUGGGCAAUGGGGGUAACCCUGACCCAGCCAAUGCCGCGUGAGGGAAGUAGGCCCUACGGGUCGUGAACCUCUUUUACUCGGGGACAAGGACUCGGUCGCGAACCGAGUUUGAGGGUACCGAGGGAAUAAGCAUCGGCUAACUCCGUGCCAGCCGCUGC